rnacentral:rRNA from 1 species
UACGUAGGGCGCAAGCGUUAUCCGGAAUUAUUGGGCGUAAAGAGCCCGUAGGCGGUUUGUCGCGUCUGCCGUGAAAGUCCGGGGCUCAACUCCGGAUCUGCGGUGGGUACGGGCAGACUAGAGUGAUGUAGGGGAGACUGGAAUUCCUGGUGUAGCGGUGAAAUGCGCAGAUAUCAGGAGGAACACCGAUGGCGAAGGCAGGUCUCUGGGCAUUAACCGACGCUGAGGAGCGAAAGCAUGGGGAGCGAACAGG